rnacentral:rRNA from 1 species
GUAGUCAUAUGCUUGUCUCAAAGAUUAAGCCAUGCAUGUCUAAGUAUAAGCAAAUUUAUACCGUGAAACUGCGAAUGGCUUAUUAAAUCAGUUAUCGUUUAUUUGAUAGUACCUUACUACUUGGAUAACCGUGGUAAUUCUAGAGCUAAUACAUGCUAAAAGCCCCGACUUCGGAAGGGGUGUAUUUAUUAGAUUAAAAACCAAUGCCCUUCGGGGCUCUUUGGUGAUUCAUAAUAACUUAACGAAUCGCAUGGCCUUGUGCCGGCGAUGGUUCAUUCAAAUUUCUGCCCUAUCAACUUUCGAUGGUAGUAUAUGGGACUACCAUGGUUUCAACGGGUAACGGGGAAU